CUUGAAAGCUUGUGACUGCAGGUUCUUCAAGUCCUGAUGCCAGGGCUGUGUUUACCUGCAUAUCUGGGAUUUUUAGUUCACCUAAAAUGCCUACUGAAGAGCCCUCAGUUUCCAGGCAGCAGAGCAAUCAGAGAGCUGGAAGGUAGAGGCAGUGCCCGCUGGUCAUACAGGUAUCUGUUGAUAGAAUGUCCUUUGCCAUCAAAAUGCUUCCCUAGUGAGCAGAGAUGUCUGGUGCUGAUGGGAGGGGAAAUUUUGUGCUCCUGGUGCUUUCAUGGAACAUGGAGCCCAUAAUUACUGUGGAGAGGGGUUGGUAAUCUUUCAAGAAUGAUCAGCCAGACCAUGGUUUUCAUUCUCAAAUUAGUGGUUCAGUAUGAUAACUGAAAUCCAGCAGGAGCUGUAAGGGGAUGAUCUUCACAGAAGCAGUUUCCAAAGACUUUUGAAAUUUAGGAAAGCUGGGAGUACUUGCCUCACAUAGACAUUGGUUUGGGAGUACCUUGUCUUCCAGGGCCCAGAUCUGCUCAAAAAACUGUUCAAGCACUGGUGCCCACUCUUUAAAUAUCCAGCACUGGUAUGGAUAGCUUGAAAAGAG